CUUCAAAAACAUCUCAGGAACUGUCAUAAAAAAAAGUUAACGUGUGUACAAGUAGCCGUGACAUACCGCAACGAGUCCUGUAUUCGAUCAUGCGAUGAAAUAUAUCGUGCUUAGAUUUGCAUAAGUAAACAGUCGACAGGUUGUGUGGAUUACGAGAUUUAUCAAUACCGCGAUACUGUAUAUGAUGUGUACAAUGUGACGAAUGUACAAUGAUGUAAGCAUUGUUUUUAUUUAGCGGACUCUGAAUAUUUAGUUAUUCUACAACAGACUUAUCAAGCUGAUAAUAAUUCAAUAUCUUGUGAGUCAUAUUAAGAAUUGCAAAACACAUUUUUGUUUGGGACCCCUAAUUUUAUGAUGAAGGGGUCCAAGUGACCCCAAGAAAAUUUAAGCCAGAGCAGACACUAUAUUGCUUUCAUAUUAAAUGGCAAACCAUUUCAGUUACAUAUUAAAUCAAAAUCAAGUCAUUUUAUUAGUGAAACCGCAGCGGCGUAAUCCCGGAAGUUUGUAGUAAACACGCAUUCGGAAUCUACUCCAGCGAACUUCCAUUUAUAGCCUUAUUGGUAUUGCAACUGAUGGUGCCUCCGUGAUGGUUGGAAAGAAGGCAGGUGUCGUGAAGAGGCUAAAGGACCAGACUAAUCGAGCAUUCAUCCAAGGUAUCCACUGUUCAGCCCACCGGCUUGAGUUGUCAUUUAAAGAUGCAACAACGGACCUGUCGCUUUGGACCAAGGCUUCCAAUCUCCUACUGAGUGUUUAUCUCUUUUAUCGCAACAGUCCCCUGAACAGGAGCAACCUAUUGCAGGCUUUUGCCAUGGAAGAUGUGGAAGUGCUCAUACCAUCCAGUGUUGGUGGCACCAGAUGGGUCAGCCAUAUCAAGAGAACGUUACGAAACCUCAUGACAUCCUAUGGACCAAUAAUUCAGCAUCUCCAGCAAAUCCAAAACCCUUGCGACCCAGCACACAACAAGGAGUCUGCUAGGAAAGCAGUGAGUUUCUUAAAACAUCUACAGGACAAGUCCAUGGUUGCUUUCCUGCUCUUCAUGUGGGACAUUGUCUGCUGCCUGUCUGCCGUCUCUGAGGCUUUUCAGAGAAAAGAGGCAACUUUGAGAGAUGUGUAUGUCGAAAUCCAGCUGGCUAAGAACACCCUGACAAACUUCUAUGAGAUGGAUGGUCCAAAAUUAAAACGUUUAACAGCAACUGAUGACAAUUCUGAGUCUGACAGUCUGGAGCUAUAUGAAGGGCAUCAUUUGUAAGGAAACCUAGUAUCCUUCAAGGCUGGAAGAGUCAAAGUACUGGACAGACUGGUCAGCAGUAGGACAGACAGAUUUGAAAUAGAUGCUGGUGUUGCAGAGGCAUGCUGCAUCACAAAUCUGAACCUAUGGCCCCUAACUUUGCAAGCAGGGAAACUUAAAUGUUAAUAGUUAAUAUCUGUGAAAUAGUUAUUUGUCAAAUUGAGGUAUUUGCGUCAAUUGUGUUCUGUAAAUAAGUGGUGCAAAUGUAUAUUUAGUGUGAUCAGAAUUACUGGUGUUCAUCUGAAUACUAAGUAAACCCUUGAUAAUUUUCUGAUAUAAGUUUUUAGUUGUUUAUGUUCAUGUUGAUUCAACAGACUUUGGUGAUGUUCAUUUGGCCAGCUUAGUGAAAACAUUUAAGCAAGGAUUGGAGAAAGCUGGAUUUGACCCAUGGCAAGUAGAACCAGAAUGGACAAGACUUAAGGAGUAGUGUAUAGACUUUAUCCAGAGCCAUCAAAAGCUUCAUGGAAGGACCUGAACAGUCAGCUGAAGGAACAAGGUUAUGAAAAUGUCCUUGGACUUGUUGAUUUGAUCUUUACCCUGCCUGCCAGCUCUGUUGAGACAGAGCGGGGCUUCUCAGCAAUGGGGCGGGUCAAGACAGACUGGCGGAGCAAUCUGAAAGACAGUCACCUGUCAGACCUCCUUAUGGUCUUGAUCGAAACCCCAGAGGUCAUGUCAUUUCAUCCUACUCCAUCUGUCCACCUAUGGAAUUCUAGAUC